rnacentral:sRNA from 1 species
CCUGAAGGUCCCCUGGCAGUGCUGAGGGACCGAGCCCAGCAGAUCUCAUGUCCUCUAUACCUGUGUCCGAUGCUGGAGGCCCUCGAGGAAGGGGGGCCGCCGCUGACCCUGGGCCUGGAGGGGGAGCACCAGCGGUCCAACGCCGCCUUGGCCUUGCAGCUGGCCCACUGCUGGCUGCAGUGGCAGGACCGCCAUGGUGCUGGGGAGCCAAAGGCAUCCAGGCCAGGGCUCCUGUGGCAGCUGCCCCUGGCACCCGUGUUCCAGCCCACAUCCCACAUGCGGCUCGGGCUUCGGAACACGGAGUGGCCGGGCCGGACGCAGGUGCUGCGGCGCGGGCCCCUCACCUGGUACCUGGACGGUGCGCACACGGCCAGCAGCGUGCAGGCCUGCGUGCGCUGGUUCCGCCAGGCGCUGCAGGGCCGCGAGAGGCCGAGCGGUGGCCCCGAGGUUCGAGUCUUGCUCUUCAAUGCUACCGGGGACCGGGACCCGGCGGCCCUGCUGAAGCUGCUGCAGCCCUGCCAGUUUGACUAUGCCGUCUUCUGCCCUAACCUGACAGAGGUGUCAUCCACAGGCAACGCAGACCAACAGAACUUCACAGUGACACUGGACCAGGUUCUGCUCCGCUGCCUGGAACACCAGCAGCACUGGAACCACCUGGACGAAGAGCAGGCCAGCCCGGACCUCUGGAGUGCCCCCAGCCCAGAGCCCGGUGGCCUGUCUGUGAGAUGAGAAGACCAGACUGAAGCCUGUUCACCAUAUGCCAGGCAGUGCUUUCUGCAGACCCCCUUGCAGAGACCUUGUGAUGGAGAAUUAUACCCAUUUGACA